UACGGAGGGGGCUAGCGUUGUUCGGAAUUACUGGGCGUAAAGCGCACGUAGGCGGCUUUGCAAGUCAGAGGUGAAAGCCCGGGGCUCAACCUGGGAAUGGCAUUUGGGACUGCAAGGCUGGAGUGUGGCAGAGGAGACUGGAAUUCCUGGUGUAGCAGUGAAAUGCGUAGAUAUCAGGAGGAAUACCGAUGGCGAAGGCAGGUCUCUGGGCUGACACUGACGCUCAUGCACGAAAGCGUGGGGAGCAAACAGG
rnacentral:rRNA from 1 species